GGGGACUACAAGGGUUUCUAAUCCCUUUCGCUCCCCUAGCUUUCGUCCCUCAGCGUCAGUUACGGCCCAGUAGAGCGCCUUCGCCACUGGUGUUCUUCCCAAUAUCUACGCAUUUCACCGCUACACUGGGAAUUCCCUCUACCCCUACCGCACUCCAGUUCAUCAGUUUCCACCGCCGGCCCACAGUUAAGCUGUAGUCUUUGACAGCAGACUUGAUAAACCGCCUACGGACGCUUUACGCCCAAUAAUUCCGGAUAACGCCUGCAUCCUCCGUCUUACCGCGGCGGCUGGCACC
rnacentral:misc_RNA from 1 species